AUGUGGCUGCAGGCGUACUGCGGCAGCAGCCGAGCGGCAUGACGUGAUAGAGGAGUGAAGUGACGGACAGAAACGCACACAAAUACACAGCGCUGGCAGCUCCGCGGCCUCAGAGGCAGCAGCAGGAGCGAGCCGGAGGACGUCAGCGGCACAGAUGGGAGACCAGCUCCCCCUCCGCGCUUUGUGUCCUCACACCUGCGGCGGCUUCCUGCCUCGAUGAAUGGAGAGGCGGCGCGGGCCAAUGGGAGGCCGGCGGUGAGGAUGCAACAGCGAUCCAGGAAAAAACACCCCAUUGUUCCCGAGCUGUUGGCAAAGUGUGACCUCCCUCCUGCCGGCGCUGGCUGCUCGGCCUCACCGUGAUCCAAGGACGGAGUCCCAGCGAAGGGAAGGGGACGCGUGGACCAGGAGGCCGAGCUCCCUCCUUCUCUCUUCUCUUGUGGCUUUCUGUUGGAUACCUGUGCCUUUCAGGAAUCCUGGCAGCUCCUUUGAGUGUUUUUGCUUCACCUCAAGGAUCUACGACAGCACCUUGCUCCUGCUGCUGCUGAUGCACAGCAGCAUGGGGCCGCUCCAUUAUUCGAUGUGACCAGGAUUCACUGCAGCAGCGCCAUCAAUCAGGACUUCCUCGGAAGGUCUUCAUGAAUGUGAGUGAAACCCGCGUGAGAUAAAAGAUGAGUGGAGGCGUUAAUGUGAAGGCCGCCCGCGGUCCGUCUUCAGGGAUCCCCCUCCCUCGCAGCCUGUUGCCGUCGUCCCCUCAAGCAGACCCCCGCCACCGGGUCAGUGACCUCCCCAGACCCUCGCCUCACACGCCCCGACGCACAACCACGCACGCGCCCAC